rnacentral:misc_RNA from 1 species
UUCUUUUUUUAUUUGCUAGACUUUUUACAAUCAAUUCUCAUUGAGAAUUAUAAGUAAAUUACUUUGGUGUGGUACUGUAACUUGGAUUACAAGAGUUUAUAGUAUGUUUGAAUCUAAUGUUUCAAUCUAAAGAGCAUUGUCUUUUUAGUCUGCGGAUCUGAUCCGUCGUGUCAAGUAAUUGGCUAACAAAUAGGUUUUGGUGGUUGUUAAUUCUUAUAUUAGGUCGCCAUGUACGAUUGGAAUCGUUGAAGAAUUUCUAUGUUGGAAUUACUCGCGUGCC